GGAAACCCAGAAUAAGGUGGUUUUGGUUCUAUAAUGACCACCCUCCGGGUAGGACCAAAUGAUCCCACAGAGUCUGAAUUCCAUCUAGAAGUAUUUGAAGCACAUAGGCAUUGGAAUGAACGAGUUUGCAGCACAACUUAACUCUUUGAAGCUAUGGAGGCUGGGAAGUGCAAAAUCAAGGCACGAGCAUGAUCAGGUUCUGGUGAAGACCUUCUUCCGGACUGCAGACUGCUAUCUUCUAAUAUUCUCACAUGGCAGAGAAGGGAUCGGGGGAGGAACGAUGAUGGAAGUGGUGCACUAGAUCAGGGAAACUUUUUCAGCUUUGUGACUAAGAGACAGCCAGCCUUUCAGCUGGGUGAGCUUUCCAGUUGCAUGAGAAAGAGCUUCAUCAGAAACCACCUACAUUCUUGCCAUUCAAAAAAAUAGAAAAAAAGAAAGAGAAGAAUAUAAAAAGAAU